rnacentral:lncRNA from 1 species
UGUGGCGUCUCUCUGAACCCCCUAGACCGUCCGAGCUUCCGAACUUCUCCGACAAGGAGCUUCUCCAUCCAUCUACCGGGCCGCUUCAAAGGCUCUCUAGGCCUCACUAUCAGCCGAUCUUCUACGACGGUCAACUAUUCUCCGAACUCCUUCCAGACAUCGUUAAUAGCCGAGCUUCUUCGACGACGAGAUUUCUACAGUAAUCAGAUUCCAUCCAAGUUUCUACGACGGUCGACCGCCUUCAGGAUUCCAACCGAGCUCCUGCGAUAGCUGAACUUCUACUACUAGCGGUCUACUCCGAACCCCUAUAGCGGACAGUCUACCUCGGAUCUCUACUCUGGGUCCCGAACGAGCUUCUACAAUGGGACAAGACCCACCGGCCAGGUUGCUACUCCGAGCUCCCACGACAAUCGAUCUUCGACCGAGCCUCUACAAUAAGCGGUCUCCCUUCAGCCUUCUACAAGAAUCAGACUCUGUUCGAACUCCCAUAGCGGAUGGAUAUCGGACGAGCUUCUACGACGGACGGACUCCGACAGCUGGAUUCCUACAAUGACCGAUCACCUCCGAUGUCUGCCGAAUCUCCCCAACGCCAUCCGAAGUCCAUCACCGGCCGAUCCUCCACC